rnacentral:rRNA from 1 species
UACGUAGGGUGCUAGCGUUGUUCGGAAUUAUUGGGCGUAAAGCGCGUGUAGGUGGUCAUCUAAGUCGAGUGUGAAAUCCCUGGGCUCAACCUAGGAAGUGCAUCCGAAACUAGUUGACUAGAAGACAGUAGAGGAAGGUGGAAUUCCAAGUGUAGAGGUGAAAUUCGUAGAUAUUUGGAGGAAUACCGGCGGCGAAGGCGGCCUUCUGGGCUGUUCUUGACACUGAGACGCGAAAGCGUGGGUAGCAAACAGG